rnacentral:rRNA from 1 species
CCUACGGGAGGCAGCAGUGAGGAAUAUUGGUCAAUGGGCGGGAGCCUGAACCAGCCAAGCCGCGUGAGGGAAGAAGGUACAGCGUAUCGUAAACCUCUUUUGUCAGGGAACAAAGGCGGGGACUAGUCCCCGGAUGAGGGUACCUGAAGAAAAAGCAUCGGCUAACUCCGUGCCAGCAGCCGCGGUAAUACGGAGGAUGCGAGCGUUAUCCGGAUUUAUGGGGUUUAAAGGGUGCGCAGGCGGCCUGUUAAGUCAGCGGUAAAAGCCCGGGGCUCAACCCCGGCGAGCCGGUGAAACUGGCGGGCUGGAGUUGGAGAGAAGUACGCGGAAUGCGCGGUGUAGAGGUGAAAUGCUUAGAUAUCGCGCAGAACCCCGAUUGCGAAGGCAGCGUACCGGCUCCACACUGACGCUGAGGCACGAAAGCGUGGGUAUCGAACAGGAUUAGAUACCCCUGUAGUC